AGCCUGAUGCAGCGACGCCGCGUGGGGGAUGACGGCCUUCGGGUUGUAAACUCCUUUCGCUAGGGACGAAGCUUUUUGUGACGGUACCUAGAUAAGAAGCACCGGCUAACUACGUGCCAGCAGCCGCGGUAAUACGUAGGGUGCGAGCGUUGUCCGGAAUUACUGGGCGUAAAGGGCUCGUAGGUGGUUUGUCGCGUCGUCUGUGAAAUUCCGGGGCUUAACUCCGGGCGUGCAGGCGAUACGGGCAUAACUUGAGUACUGUAGGGGUAACUGGAAUUCCUGGUGUAGCGGUGAAAUGCGCAGAUAUCAGGAGGAACACCGAUGGCGAAGGCAGGUUACUGGGCAGUUACUGACGCUGAGGAGCGAAAGCAUGGGUAGCGAACAGGAUUAGAUACCCUGGUAGUCCAUGCCGUAAACGGUGGGCGCUAGGUGUGAGGGUCUUUUCACGACUUUCGUGCCGUAGCUAACGCAUUAAGCGCCCCGCCUGGGGAGUACGGCCGCAAGGCUAAAACUCAAAGGAAUUGACGGGGGCCGCACAAG
rnacentral:rRNA from 1 species